GAUGAACGCUAGCGGCAGGCCUAACACAUGCAAGUCGAGCGGUAGAGGACCUUCGGGUUCUUGAGAGCGGCGCACGGGUGCGUAACGCGUAUGCAACCUACCCUUUACAGGGGAAUAGCCCGUCGAAAGGCGGAUUAAUGCACCAUGGCUCCUUUGAGAGGCCUCUCUUGAAGGGUAAAGAUUUAUCGGUAAAGGAUGGGCAUGCGUGCCAUUAGCUUGAUGGUGGGGGAACGGCCCACCAUGGCUACGAUGGCUAGGGGUUCUGAGAGGAAGGCCCCCCACACUGGGACUGAGACACGGCCCAGACUCCUACGGGAGGCAGCAGUGAGGAAUAUUGGUCAAUGGGCGGAAGCCUGAACCAGCCAUGCCGCGUGCGGGAAGAAGGCGCUACGCGUCGUAAACCGCUUUUGUCCGGGGGUAACCGCGGGGACGUGUCCCCGCCUGCAAGUACCGGACGAAUAAGGGUCGGCUAACUCCGUGCCAGCAGCCGCGGUAACAC
rnacentral:rRNA from 1 species